UUUUAAUUUUCACAAAGACAUUUUAGUUAUUGCAUACAAACUGUGUUAAUGGACUUUUUUUUUUUUUAAAUUUUAACAAAGACAUUUCAGUUAUUUCAUAGAAACUGUGUAGAUGAAAUUAUAUACAUGAGCGUUCACAGGAUGGGGAUGCCGGCAAGAUGAGAAAGCCUCCCCUCUUUUCCGGGCUUGCAGCCGUCAUUAUUUAUAGUCCCAUCCUACGCCGAUUGCCAAGCAAAUCUGUCUCUCUCCCUCUCUUUCCCUCUCUCCCCGGUCUCAGAACUCUGGCGCAGCGAUGCAGGACGGAUUGCUAGGUCGGCGAGGCGGUAGGAGGGGAAAAGGGAGGCCCUAUGAAAAGAAUCAUCCUGGGCCAUCGAUUCACGUUCAACGGCGAAAUCUGGCGGAAAAAAAGGUUUCUUCGGAGAUUCAUUUCAUUUUCCUUAUACCAGCAUACAGAUUUGAUUUUCAUGUCAUGUCACCCAGCGUUAGUUUGUUAAUCAGGUUUAGAUGUUGCUUUUUCAUGCUCAGUUCGCCGCCAUCAUCCAGCUUUGCAUACAGAUUCAUGCCAAAAACUUCAUUGACCGCCAUUAACCAUACGCAGCUUGAAUCAAUUCUGUGACGUUAGAAAUUUGUUUGAGCUUACAAAGCGAAAGCACACUCCGGACAAAGUAGCUAUAACGACGAUAAGCAAAAACUCUAUUUUGUGCGACGGGAAUUCCAAUAGGACGAUACAACAGAAACUGUGGCAAAGCCGGAGCUACGGUACCGUUCGCACUGUUUGAAAACCUUUGCAUAUUUACUUAUACACAACAGUGCCCACGCAAAUUUUUUUUUUUUAAGUAGUCAUUUUAAAUAUUUAUUAUUAUAUAUAUAUAUUUAUUUAUUUUUUUAUAAUUAAUCCAAACAUUAACAUAUAUAUUAAAAUAUUAAAUCCACGUAACUUCUCCACCGGCUAUGUUACAAAUGCCAUGGCUAUGUUACAAAUGCCAAAUCAUUUUUCUAGCCCUUCCGCUGCGUCACGAGUGCCUGCGUCGGUGCCUUACCUCACAGAAGAGGUGCAGCGAGAAGCCUUGAACGAAUGAUGCAGAAAGAAAGUGCUGCGGACACGGGGAGGAGGGAGGCCCAAAGCACUGCGCUGCUAGAGGCGGGAGGGAGAAUCAUCCAGGCCCUGAACAAGAAGCCGGCCCCUAUUAGAAGGAAAAGGCCGGUGAGAAGAGGAAGGGAUGUUCGCUUCUGUUUCUCAUUCAAGGACUGAGCGCACACGACAGAGCCCACCGAGACGACGAAAGUCGCGAAAACGGCAACGGAAAAGGAGGAUUCAAGGGGGUCGCCGUUGGCUACAACCUGCGCAUAGGCACUAUAACCAAAAAAAAUGAAGCCUAGAAUGGGGGCAACGUUGACUGCCUUCUUCAGCAGCAGGUCUGAAAAGUUCUUCAUGGACGAAAGGGGCUUCGAAAAUUAACCAGACACGAAGCAUGCAUCAAAUACAAAGGAGGAAGCAAGGAAGAGGGAUAGGGAGAAUGGCCGAACGGGAGAGAGAGGGGGGUAAGGGGGGUGGAAGAGUCUGUUGUGGCGACAUCGAUAUAUAGGCCGGGUGUCCGCCCCCGGUGCAAGAAAUGUCAGAAAUCACUUGACUUGAUAUCAAGGAGAUGGUUGGAGGUGAGUAGGUAAAAAAAAGAUGUCAUUUUUAUUUAUUUAUUUAUUUUUAAUCUGUAACGAAUUGAAUUUACACUGAUCUACUAUUCUUUUUAUUUUUCUCCCUUAACAGUCAAACACAUUUUGUUUUUUUUUCUUUAAUUUUUUUUUUUCUAAUUAGUCAACCAAAUAAAAGAGAAUUGCUCAAUCCCAAAAAAACUUUUCAUCUUCAUUUUUUUUUUCCUUUCAAUUUGUUCGAUUUAAGAGGAAUUAGAUUUACACUGAUCUAUCCUUUUCUUUCUCUCUCCUAACAAUCAAAGACACUUUGUUUCAAUCAAACACACUUUGUUUCUUGAGGAAUUGUUCAAUCCUUUUCUUUCUCUCCAACCAAACAUGGUCGUAUAAGCCUAAACUUUUUUAAUUUCUUUAAUUUUUAAAAUAAGUUUGAAAACUUAUUUUCAUUAAGACAUCAAAUAUUAUUUUCAAUUUUAUUCUUUUAAGGCAUCAAAUAUCCCUUAAAAAUUUAAGGACUCGUAAAUUAAAUUGUCUCCAAGCCAAUGCUUUGCUUUGGUGUGCUGCUUCUUUUAUGGCGUAACAUGUUUUAUUUUAUUUUUUAAAUUAGAAAACAUCUCCCUUCUCUUAAACGCUUAACAUAUGUAUCUAUAAUGGGGAUGUCGAUGGCAAGGCCGCGGCUGACGUAGACUUUUAAUUUUAUAUUUUUAACAAUUUUUUAUUUAUACUCAACCUUUAAUAGAUACAGAACAAUUUUUUAUUUAAAUAAUUUUUUUUGGUUAUUAUAAAUUUUUCUAUACAAUUUUUUUUUUUAAUGUAAGGUAUAAGGGGAGCACUGUUGGCAAUGGUGAAGAGUUGAAGCCCUUAACUGGUACCCGUCAGCUUUCAAAAGAGAGAGAUUUGGGUCCUUAUUUCACCUAUCAAACUUAAGAUUAAAUCUAAGAUCUGAGUACCUCAAAUCCAUCUUGAAUCUAAAGAGCCGAUGCGAGGCAAACAAACACUGUAUUGUAUAGACAAAUCUAAGGAAAAAUUUCUGUAUUCUUAUCAUGGGCAAAGUAAUAACUUUUAGAUUGAAGAACAAUUUUGAUAGUAAGUUGUGUAUAACUAGCAGUGCUAAUUUUAUACAAAAAAAUAUUUUAAAAAAUUCGUCAAAAAGGAAUUUUAAAAUAUAUCAAUAUGAAUCCUUUUGUGAAAAAUAAAAUAAAAUAAAAAAUGAAAGAAAAAUAAUCAAAAGAUAACUUAAAAAAAAAAAAAGACGGGGGGCAAAACGACUGGUCACGAACCUGGGGCCUGGGGCUGAAGUUUCGCAGAAACUUUAUACAAAACGACAAGUCACGUCGCAUUUACUAUAAUUAAAGUCAUGGUCUAUCUUUUUCAAAGUAAAUGGCCCACGGCACGCGGAGUAGGUCCGACCGACGACCUUGGAGGUCGGCCAUUGAAUUUAAAAAUAAUUUAAAAAUAUUAAAAAAUGAUCAAAAAAUUUUAAAAUAAAAGGUUAUGCUCAUGUUACCGGGUCAGCAGGGGCAUUGACGUUUCUUUAUAUUUUAAAAAUGUAUAUUGAACUUUAAAAAACAUUUUUAUUUUAGCUCUCGUUGACGCGUGAAACAAAAAAUUACCAACUCUCCCCUCAAGCAAAAAUGUUACGGUUGUAAAAUGAAAAGCUUGCCGUGUAGGGUAGGGAAGAUGGAAGGUUCGGCUGUGUAAAACAGAAAGCUAAGCUUGCCGUGUAGGGUAGGCAAGAUGGAUGGAGGAAUUCUCAUUACAGCUGGGCCGCAAAAUGUGAUUAUGUCUGAAUUAGAUGCGUACUUAACCAUAUCAACUCGUUCAGAUGUUCUCAUAGUUGGAUUCAAAUAAAAAAAAUAAAAAAAUGUCUAUUCUACGUACGAAUCCAAUUCAUAUUUUGAAUACAUACUGAAUUCAAUUUUUCAAUUUUGAGUUCAAAUUGUUGUUUUUAAGUUUUAACAAAUUCUUAAAAGCUUUAAGAUGCAUAGCGUAGGUCGGGCUAAGUGUUUGUAAAAAAAAAAAGAAGAAAAAAAAUUGAUGAAAAAGAAAUAAAAAAAUGAAAACUAGAAAGAAAUGAGAGAAAAGGUAAAGAAAGAUAAUGAAUUAAUGUAAAAGAUUGUUUUUUGAUAAAAAGUGAAAAAAAGAAUUAACGAAAAAAUUUAUUUAAUACGUUGCUUAAUUUUUAUUUUAUUUACUUAUGCAUAUUUUGUUGAUUUUUUUUAAAAUGAUUUUUAAAUAACACAAGAAUACUCCUGCCAGACGAACAACACCAAGGGCCGGCUUGAAUCCAAAAUGUGCUAACUGAUUGUAACAUAAGAGACCACAUCCUUUAACAUUCAUGUGUUACUACAUUUUAUGAUUUUUUCUUUUUUUCAUUAACAAAUUAUUUAAAGUCUUUGGUGCUCAACCACACCAAGAAAGCUUCAUAGACGUUAAUUUGGAACCCAUAUUAACCCAGACAUUUGAACAUGAAGUCUGAAAUCUCCAGCACCAUAAUCCUAUUGAAGCUAUCACAUAGCUUUUGGUUGAAACAGAACCGGAGAAAGAAAAGCAAUUUUCAGACUGAGGGGAAGAAAAGCAAAGUAAGAAAUAAAGACGAUGGUGACAAUUACAAUUGAGUUGUAGACUUGGAUGCUACCCUCAUAAAAAUCUAAGUUGAGUGAGUGGGUCUGUUGAUCACCACCACCACCACAUUAUCGUCUUGCCAGUGGUAGAGAUUGUCUCCCUUUAUUUAAUUUAGAAAAUAGUAGUUAUAAUGUGAAAACCAAUAUAACUAUUUAUUGGGUGAUACAAUUUUUUUUUAAUGAAUCAUUUUUAAUAUGGAUAUCAUUAAAACCAAUAUAUCUUUUUUAAGUAGUAAACAAACAUCAUUUUUGUGUUUUGUCUCGCUAUUAUUUUAUUAUCUCAUAAACAUUAUCUCAAGUUUAGCAUUAUCUCAUGCAUUUGUUUAUUGUUUUAUUAAUUGAUAAAUAUUUAGUUAUCUCAUAACUAUUAUUUUUUAUAUAUGUUUAGCAUUAUCUUAUUAUCUCGUAAAUUUUUUGUUAUAUCUUUUAUGUUUAGGAUUAUUUUAUACAUUCAUCCGUCCGUUAUCAAAUUUUUGUUAUCUCACCAACAUACAUAUGUAAUAUAUGAACAUAAAAGUAAAUGUAUAUAUUAAUAAUAAGGUCUACAUUUGACAUAUUUUCAUUACAUAUAUAAAGUCACCUACAGAACUCUCAAUAAAGAAAAUGGUGACAUGCAAUGGACGCUGCACUUGACUGAGCUGAGAGACUUCCGUCGGAAUGCUUCUUACAAAGCAUCUAAUAAGGACAACGGCGUGAAGGAUCCCUGAAAAAGAUGAAAUCUCAUGCCACAAUACUUGGGAGUCAUGGAAGGAUGAGGACCAAGUCAUCCUGUCAGUCAUAUGAAGUCAAGUUGAUUAACUCGGCUGGGUUUUUUAGUUCCAGCAUCACAAAGACUGGAAAAAGGUUUUUCCAGCUUUUUUUAUGGUUCUGGGAAAAGAGUGUCAAUUUAUACCAACCAAAUUAAGGUUAAAAAUUGGGAAUACAUAAAUGAAGCCCAUAAUGCAACAUUCAAUACAUAUUCCCAAUGGUCCAAAGGGGAAAGAUAUGUUGCGCUAGCUCUCCCUGCCUUCCUCUUCGCUCGAGCUCUCUUUUCCUCCUUUCUCCUUCUCCAUCCCCCCCAUCGGCCAUCUACCUCUCCUCACUUUGCCUCCCAUCAGGGGCGGAGCCAGUACUUUCUUCAGGAGCGGCAUCUACCUCUCCUCACUUUGCCUCCCAUGAGGAGCGGAGCUAGUACUUUCUUCAACCUCUGGAAUUUGGGUUGGACCAAAUUGAAUUCAAAUAAAAAAACUACAUGACACAAUUAAAAAAUUAUAUUCCAUUGUCACUGUUGAGACGUCAGGUAAAGUUUUUUUUAGUCUUUGCCUCUCUCACUCAUAUGUAAAUGUAAAUUAAUGAUGAACAUGGAGAGAGGGGAUGCUGUGGUAUAAAUCCUUUCUGUGCAUUUGAUCUGACGCACAAGAAAAGGGGCUGCUAGCCACAUUGUAGAUUGUAGUUGAGGCGCUUGCCACAGCAGCCCACAAAAUUUGCUUUAUUUAUAUAUAAAAACUUUACUAAUUUUCAUUUAUUUACUUGAGAUCUCUUCAAAAUUUGAAGGCCCUCAUCCUGAAAUUUUUGGCUCCGCCACUACUCUACAACCCUCUGUUCAACGGCUAGCGCACAAAGAAGGAGCUGCUCUGCAGCCCCCUUGUGCACUAAGAAAUGCGCUGCAGCCCCUCCCAACGGUCACAGAAAUAGUUUUCUGUGCUAUAUAUAUAUAAUUAUUUCUUUUAUUUUCUUUUUCUUUUGGGUGAGCAAGGGGUAUUAAUCCCACCGCCCGAAAAGGCCCGAAGGCUCCCUCAUUCCCCCUGCCUUCGGGGUCCUGAGCUGCGUCGGUGUCAGUGAUAGCAACGGUGCACCCUUCAGCUUAGGUGCCGCGCUCUACCGCCUUAAGACACAUGAACAUAACGCCCACGAGAAUCGAACUAGAGACAUGCCUUAGUACAGGCCCCUAACUCAACCACCUAUGCUAUGCCCCUUGAGGCUAUUUUUUUUUCCUUUCAUUCCCUUUCUUUCCUAUUUCAUUUUUCCCUAUUCCGAACAAAGAGGUCAAUGUCUUUCUAUUAAUAAUAUAAGCUUUUUUAAUGUAGACACCUCACACCGUUGGCCCACGAGCCCACGCGGGGUAGGUGUGACAGACGACCGUUCACAUGGACUAUUAAAUUUAAAAAUAGUUUAAAAUAUUUAGAAAAUGAUAAAAAAGUUCGACGUUGCGUGGAAGUCACUAAAAUCUUGCGUAUACGUAGCAGUAAGGGCCAAGGCAACAAUACAGGCGUCGAAUGAGUUGGAUUUUAGCUUACCAAACGAUAGGGACGAAGCAAAGUGUUGGGGCUGCCAAACCAAAAGUCUGCCGUGUAGGGUAGGCAACAAGGAAAUUUGGACAAAUUCGCUCAUAACAGUUGGGGCGUGUUUGAAUUAGAUGCAUACUUAACUUGAGAUGUUCUCAUAUUUGGAUUUGAAUUUGGAUUCAAAUAAAAAAUGAAAAAAAAGUCUGUUCUACAUACGAAUCCAAUUCAUAUUUUGAAUACAACUAAAUCCAAUUUUUCAAUUUUGAAUUCAAAUUUGACUGUUGAACUGUACCACAAUUUGAAUUGAGAGUUCCGGAGAAACAAAUUGUUAAUCCAAUGUUAAACGGUAAGAAAGAGUAAAAUCUAUCGGACUGAAUUUCAAAUUGUUGUUUUUAAGUUUUAACAAAUUCUUAAAAAGCCUUAAGAUGCAUAGCUUAGUUGGUCGGGCUAAGUGUCUGUAAAAAAAAAGAAGAAAAAAAAUUGAUGAAAAAGAAAUAAAAAAAUGAAAACUAGAAAGAAAUGAGAGAAAAGGUAAAGAAAGAUAAUGAAUUAAUGUAAAAGAUUGUUUUUUGAUAAAAAGUGAAAAAAAGAAUUAACGAAAAAAUUUAUUUAAUACGUUGCUUAAUUUUUAUUUUAUUUACUUAUGCAUAUUUUGUUGAUUUUUUAAAAAAUGAUUUUUAAAUAACACAAGAAUACUCCUGCCAGACCAACAACACCAACGGCCGGCUUGAAUCCAAAAUGUGCACUUCUCCAAAUGCUAACUGUUGUAACAUAAAAAACCAUUUUCAAUUUAUGUUUUCGGACCGGAUCACAUUGGCAGGUACUUUCGUUUUUUCGGUCAUUUAAACCCCAUGUAAAAAAUAACUUUUAGACACCGUUUGACCGCAGGCAAGAUUUUGAAAUGGUAAAUUUACCAUUAUAAAUUUUUUUUUGAAAAAAAAUAUAAAAAAAAAAAUUUCCUUUUUUCAAUUUGAGGUAUUGUUUGAUGGCAUGGUAGUUUUUUACAAAGUAAAAAUUAAUUGUGUUUGGUGUAUAUGGUAAAAUAAAGGAGAGACUUUUUAUGUGACCAUUGUGUGCGUUGUGUGCCUUUAACUUAAGUCGUAGUCGAUACAUUAUUCAUAUCAACAUUUUUAUCGUGAUUUUUUCCUAUACUAACAAAAAAUAUGACUGUUUGAAAACAUGUUUAUGAUCCUUAAAAGCAUAAAAUUAUCCUCAACACUGCUUAUGAUCCUUGAAAGCACAACUGAUUCUCUUCGCCAAAGGGGGUGCUCACCAAGCUACGGUAAGAGCAAAGAUAUCGACAGGAGAUCAUUUUAAAAUGCUAUUUCAGUAUAACUUACUUUUGGAGACUGUAAUUCCAUCUAGCAGGAGAUCUGAGAAAAUAGAGAAACAUGAUACCAUCAAAAUCAUAAUCGAACACAAAAAAUCGUCAGUAACAGAAAGAAAUGCGAACCCCUAAAAUUGAACCCCAAAAACGAAUGCAACAAAAAAUGCUAAUAACAAAGAAUAAGAUAGAUGCAGACCAUAUCAAAAAUAAAUCAAACAAAAAAACACAUCAAAAUGCACAAGUUUGAACGCCCAAAACUGAACCUCUAAAAACGCCCAAGGACUGAAAGAUAGAGAAAAAAGAAGCGGAAGAGCUGACCUGCUGCGGAGGAGAGAAGACUUGGAGCUGAUGCUGGAAGCUAACUUUCCGGAGGAGGGCAGGAGCGCUGCGAUAUAAUGAGGAGACUUGCGAAGGGGAGGAGAGCAGUAGCGGAGCUUCGUGUGGGCUGGCAUGGGCCACUGCCCACGCCAGCCCAUUAGUGCUCCCAUUGGAAAGAGCUCCACCAAAAGACUGUCCCAAGUCCAAUGCCCAUGCCAGACUUGGGUCGAGCCUCACAGUCCAAAAUCGAAAGCCGACUGUUUACUGUCACUCUGUCAAGCGUUGCUCUGCCGUGAUCCUCACUCAUCAAGAAGAAUGAUGACAUGCAACAGACGCUGCACUUGAUUGAGCUGAGAGACUUCCAUGGGAAUGCUUCUCACAAAGCAUCUAAUAUCAGUUGCAUCCUGACAACGACGUGAAGGAUCCCUGAAAAAGAUGAAAUCUCAUUCCACAAUAUAUUUGCCAGAAUCAGCUGUGGGCGACGGCAACUGUUUGAGCGUCGGAGACAGGAGGGGGAAAACGAGUUGUGGACGAUGGGGACAGGCUGCAGAGCUGCUGACGAGAGAGAAUAGAGAGAGCCACCGACAAUGCGGCCGAAUUCUAUUAGCUAAGCCGGAGGCUGAAGGAAUGAUGGGCGCUAGAGACGGAAAAGCCAGGGAAGCUAGUUGCGGGCAAAGGCAGCUGACCGGGGGUCGCGGAGGGAAAAAACGGGCCGAUGGCGACAGGGACAAGCGGACAAGCUGCAGGAAAGGGCGACGGCCGACGGGGAAAAGUUAGAACAGAGAAGGGGGGAUGCUGGUUUCCGUCGACGAGGAGGGACCGAGAGAAGCCGAGAAAAAGAGCCGCGAGACACAUAGGAAGGGAGAGCUUUAUCAUUUGUCAUCCAAGGACUCAGCCGGCGUUGGAGCAUUUGUUGUUUUUCUCUUUUCAGCGUCCAUUGCAUUUCUUUUAUAUUUGGCUUGAAAUUCAAAAUUUGAUUUACCUUGCAAGGUUGGCAAGGACGUUAGAUCGGCAGCCUUAUCUCUAACUUGCCCCUUCGAUCCAACCUCCAUUUCAAGGAGGUUUAACAUUUCCUUGAGAUAAUGAAAUCUUAGCCCUGGUAACAGCCUUGUGAAAAUAUCAGCUAAUUA